CCCAUAUGGACUCCUCGCCAUUUUGACGAGCAAGCGACUGGCCACGCCCAUUUGGUCGCUGCUCUGAAAGGUGGUUGGUUGCAACGAUGUAUCAUCGGCGGAUCCUGGGACCGUUUACGAAGCCUGAUUGGUCAACAGCCAGCGAGAGAAAAGGUGAUCUUUUUCUUUUGGGCCAUGCCAUAUUUUGGCAACCCCCACUCAAGUAACAGUCUUGAAGGCAAGUAACACCUUUCAUGGUUGAACUGCUGCAAAGAAGCCACCACUGAGGAAGAAGAAGAAGAAGAAGAAGAAGAAGAAGAAGGAGAAGACAUUGAGGUGAAGUGAGACCAUAAAAUUCCAAGAAAUAUCAAGCAAGACCAACACUUUGGUAAAGAGGAUUAUUAGAGAUACCAGCCACAGAAACUGUAAUUUAACAUCACCUCCGAUUAGAGACCACAUACAGUAAAUGCUACCCAGAGUUCAAGUAGCAGACACAUCUCGACCUGUUCAGAGGAGACUGUGUGAGUUAGGCCUUCAUGGUUGAAUUGCUGCAAAGAAGCCACCACUGAGGAUGAAGGAGAAGAAUAAUUGUUAAGGCCAAGAAACACAAGAAAUGGACAUAAAACCAGUGGAAAUCUGAUCUGAUGAGUUUGAUAUGUUCAGGUCCACUUGUCAUGUCUUUGUGAGUUGAAGAAAAGGUGAGCUGGUGGGACACAGAGGAGGAGGUGUGAUGGUGGAACUCUGCUGGUGACACAGUUGGUGAUUUAUUUAAAAUUCACCUAAAACUUUUAACCAGCAAGACUACCACAGCAUUCUGCAGCGGCAUACCAUACCAUCUGGGAUUAUGACCCCAAACACAACUCCAGGCUGUGUAAGGCCAACUAGACCAAGAAGGAGAGUGAUGGAGUGCUGUGUCAGACGACUUGGUCUCCAAAAUCAUGCAACAUAAACCCAACUUUGAUGGUUUGGGAUGAGUUGGACUACAGAAUUAAGGCAAAGUAGCAACAUGUGCUCAGGACCUCUGGGAACUCCUUCAAAAUGUCACAAUUGUGCAAAGAUGUCAUCAAAGCAAAAAGUAGCUACUUUGAAGAGUAAAGAAAUAAAACAUACUUUAUAUCCUGUAAUGUUUAUGUCUUUAAUAUUAA